UUAACUCAAAUUUGUAUGCAGUUGGAACAGCGCCCCUAGCGGCAAACAUAGGCAAACGUUCCAACUCCAUACAAAUUUGAGUUA
rnacentral:pre_miRNA from 1 species